GUGCUCACUUGGGUAGCACAUAUACUAAAAUUGGAACAGCACAGAGAAGAUUAGUGUGGUUCUUGUGCAAGGAUGACAUGCAAAUUCAUGAAGCGUUUCAUAUUUUU